rnacentral:tRNA from 1 species
GGCUUUAUAGUCAAUGAAUGAUAUCAGACUGCAAUUCUGAAGUAGUAUUAAUACUAAAGCUU